UGUUAUUUGCCGCCGGGUAAAUUUAAGCGUUGCAUACUGUAUCGAUAGGCCAUAGAAGAUACGGUGUUCAGCGCUUUUUGUUU
rnacentral:ncRNA from 1 species